rnacentral:rRNA from 1 species
UACGAAGGGGGCUAGCGUUGCUCGGAAUUACUGGGCGUAAAGGGUGCGUAGGCGGGUCUUUAAGUCAGAGGUGAAAUCCUGGAGCUCAACUCCAGAACUGCCUUUGAUACUGAGGAUCUUGAGUUCGGGAGAGGUGAGUGGAACUGCGAGUGUAGAGGUGAAAUUCGUAGAUAUUCGCAAGAACACCAGUGGCGAAGGCGGCUCCCUGGCCCGAUACUGACGCUGAGGCACGAAAGCGUGGGGAGCAAACAGG